rnacentral:misc_RNA from 1 species
AACGCACAUUGCGCCCACUAGUAUUCUGGUGGGCAUGCCUGUUCGAGCGUCAUUUCAACCCUCAAGCCUGGCUUGGUGUUGGGGCAUUGCGGCCUGCUGCAAGCCCUAAAAAUCAGUGGCGGGCUCGCCGUAACUCCGAGCGUAGUAAAAUACAUCUCGCUUUGGAAGAGCAGCGGGUCCCGGCCGUUAAACCCCCUACUUUUAUAAAGGUUGACCUCGGAUCAGGUAGGAAUACCCGCUGAACUUAA